AUCUACUGGAGUGGCGUGUGGACCGGGACGCUACAUGUGCAUUAUACCACCCAAAAAAAAUAUCCUUUCAAUUUCGUCUUCUUAAGGUGUUUAAGAAUAUUUGGAACAGAACAACUAAACAUGUUUUACUGUCUCUUCUUGAAAACAAAAAUUACGUUUUCUUUCCUCAGAUUCUCUUAAAGGCUCAAAGACCUAAGCCAUUAUUCAACCACAUUUACAAACUCGAGUUCCCAAUUUCAACCUUUCAACGGUCAAUAUCAGGCCCAAAUAUUUUUCUGCAACUAAUAAAAACAUGUUCUGUAAUUUUUGCAGCAAUUUCGAUGUUUCCCCAUUUUAAAAAGAGUGCCUUUUACUUCUUAUUCUGCUUAUAAUUAUGUCCUCCAUCCUAUUAUUCCACCAAUUCUUGUAACAUCAACUGUAUUUUGUAUUCCACAUAAAUGUCUUGUUUUUACCUUAUUAUCCACCUAAUUUUCUAUUAUUUAUUUCCAAACACCUUUUCCUUCACAUUUAGAUAACUUUAUCAAAAUCCACAUUUUUAGCAGUCUGUAGACAACCUGAGUCCACAUUGUUUCUAUACUUUUGUAAUCUAAUCUGUAUUGGCUAUAACUUCCCUUUUCAAUGCUUAACAGACUAUAAUAAACCACUACAUUUAA